CCUACGGGUGGCAGCAGUGAGGAAUAUUGGUCAAUGGGCGCGAGCCUGAACCAGCCAAGUCGCGUGAGGGAGGACGGCCCUACGGGUUGUAAACCUCUUUUGCCGGGGAGCAACGGGCGUCACGUGUGGCGCCACUGAGAGUACCCGUAGAAAAAGCAUCGGCUAACUCCGUGCCAGCAGCCGCGGUAAUACGGGGGAUGCAAGGGUUAUCCGGUUUUAUGGGGUUUAAGGGGUGCGUAGGGGGUUCUUUAAGUCAGUGGUAAAAUUGGGGGGCUCAACCUCUUACCGCCAUUGAAACUGGCGGUCUUGAGUAGAAGAGAAGUAUGCGGAAUGCGUGGUGUAGCGGUGAAAUGCAUAGAUAUCACGCAGAACCCCGAUUGCGAAGGCAGCAUGCCGGCUUCCGACUGACGCUGAAGCACGAAAGCGUGGGGAUCGAACAGGAUUAGAUACCCUAGUAGUC
rnacentral:rRNA from 1 species